CCUACGGGAGGCAGCAGUAGGGAAUAUUGCACAAUGGGGGAAACCCUGAUGCAGCGACGCCGCGUGAAGGAAGAAGUAUUUCGGUAUGUAAACUUCUAUCAGCAAGGAAGAAAAUGACGGUACUUGACUAAGAAGCCCCGGCUAAAUACGUGCCAGCAGCCGCGGUAAUACGUAUGGGGCAAGCGUUAUCCGGAUUUACUGGGUGUAAAGGGAGCGUAGGCGGCAUGGCAAGUCAGAAGUGAAAGCCUGGGGCUCAACCCCGGAAUUGCUUUUGAAACUGUCAGGCUAGAGUGUCGGAGGGGUAAGCGGAAUUCCUAGUGUAGCGGUGAAAUGCGUAGAUAUUAGGAGGAACACCGGUGGCGAAGGCGGCUUACUGGACGAUUACUGACGCUGAGGCUCGAAAGCGUGGGGAGCAAACAGGAUUAGAUACCCCAGUAGU
rnacentral:rRNA from 1 species